rnacentral:rRNA from 1 species
UACGAAGGGGGCUAGCGUUGCUCGGAAUCACUGGGCGUAAAGGGUGCGUAGGCGGGUCUUUAAGUCAGGGGUGAAAUCCUGGAGCUCAACUCCAGAACUGCCUUUGAUACUGAAGAUCUUGAGUCCGGGAGAGGUGAGUGAAACUGCGAGUGUAGAGGUGAAAUUCGUAGAUAUUCGCAAGAGCACCAGUGGCGAAGGCGGCUCACUGGCCCGGUACUGACGCUGAGGCACGAAAGCGUGGGGAGCAAACAGG